rnacentral:rRNA from 1 species
AUUGAACGCUGGCGGCAUGCUUUACACAUGCAAGUCGAACGGCAGCACGGGCUUCGGCCUGGUGGCGAGUGGCGAACGGGUGAGUAAUGUAUCGGAACGUGCCCAGUUGUGGGGGAUAACUGCUCGAAAGAGCAGCUAAUACCGCAUACGACCUGAGGGUGAAAGCGGGGGAUCGCAAGACCUCGCGCAAUUGGAGCGGCCGAUAUCAGAUUAGGUAGUUGGUGGGGUAAAGGCCCACCAAGCCAACGAUCUGUAGCUGGUCUGAGAGGACGACCAGCCACACUGGGACUGAGACACGGCCCAGACUCCUACGGGAGGCAGCAGUGGGGAAUUUUGGACAAUGGGCGCAAGCCUGAUCCAGCCAUGCCGCGUGCGGGAAGAAGGCCUUCGGGUUGUAAACCGCUUUUGUCAGGGAAGAAACGCUUUGGGCUAAUACCCUGGGGUAAUGACGGUACCUGAAGAAUAAGCACCGGCUAACUACGUGCCAGCCGCCG